AUAUUCUGUAGCAAGGUUAACCGAAUAGGGGAGCCGAAGGGAAACCGAGUCUUAACUGGGCGUUAAGUUGCAGGGUAUAGACCCGAAACCCGGUGAUCUAGCCAUGGGCAGGUUGAAGGUUGGGUAACACUAACUGGAGGACCGAACCGACUAAUGUUGAAAAAUUAGCGGAUGACUUGUGGCUGGGGGUGAAAGGCCAAUCAAACCGGGAGAUAGCUGGUUCUCCCCGAAAGCUAUUUAGGUAGCGCCUCGUGAAUUCAUCUCCGGGGGUAGAGCACUGUUUCGGCAAGGGGGUCAUCCCGACUUACCAACCCGAUGCAAACUGCGAAUACCGGAGAAUGUUAUCACGGGAGACACACGGCGGGUGCUAACGUCCGUCGUGAAGAGGGAAACAACCCAGACCGCCAGCUAAGGUCCCAAAGUCAUGGUUAAGUGGGAAACGAUGUGGGAAGGCCCAGACAGCCAGGAUGUUGGCUUAGAAGCAGCCAUCAUUUAAAGAAAGCGUAAUAGCUCACUGGUCGAGUCGGCCUGCGCGGAAGAUGUAACGGGGCUAAACCAUGCACCGAAGCUGCGGCAGCGACGCUGAUGCGUUGUUGGGUAGGGGAGCGUUCUGUAAGCCUGUGAAGGUGUGCUGUGAGGCAUGCUGGAGGUAUCAGAAGUGCGAAUGCUGACAUAAGUAACGAUAAAGCGGGUGAAAAGCCCGCUCGCCGGAAGACCAAGGGUUCCUGUCCAACGUUAAUCGGGGCAGGGUGAGUCGACCCCUAAGGCGAGGCCGAAAGGCGUAGUCGAUGGGAAACAGGUUAAUAUUCCUGUACUUGGUGUUACUGCGAAGGGGGGACGGAGAAGGCUAUGUUGGCCGGGCGACGGUUGUCCCGGUUUAAGCGUGUAGGCUGGUUUUCCAGGCAAAUCCGGAAAACUAAGGCUGAGGCGUGAUGACGAGGCACUACGGUGCUGAAGCAACAAAUGCCCUGCUUCCAGGAAAAGCCUCUAAGCAUCAGGUAACAUCAAAUCGUACCCCAAACCGACACAGGUGGUCAGGUAGAGAAUACCAAGGCGCUUGAGAGAACUCGGGUGAAGGAACUAGGCAAAAUGGUGCCGUAACUUCGGGAGAAGGCACGCUGAUAUGUAGGUGAAGUCCCUCGCGGAUGGAGCUGAAAUCAGUCGAAGAUACCAGCUGGCUGCAACUGUUUAUUAAAAACACAGCACUGUGCAAACACGAAAGUGGACGUAUACGGUGUGACGCCUGCCCGGUGCCGGAAGGUUAAUUGAUGGGGUCAGCGCAAGCGAAGCUCUUGAUCGAAGCCCCGGUAAACGGCGGCCGUAACUAUAACGGUCCUAAGGUAGCGAAAUUCCUUGUCGGGUAAGUUCCGACCUGCACGAAUGGCGUAAUGAUGGCCAGGCUGUCUCCACCCGAGACUCAGUGAAAUUGAACUCGCUGUGAAGAUGCAGUGUACCCGCGGCAAGACGGAAAGACCCCGUGAACCUUUACUAUAGCUUGACACUGAACAUUGAGCCUUGAUGUGUAGGAUAGGUGGGAGGCUUUGAAGUGUGGACGCCAGUCUGCAUGGAGCCGACCUUGAAAUACCACCCUUUAAUGUUUGAUGUUCUAACGUUGACCCGUAAUCCGGGUUGCGGACAGUGUCUGGUGGGUAGUUUGACUGGGGCGGUCUCCUCCUAAAGAGUAACGGAGGAGCACGAAGGUUGGCUAAUCCUGGUCGGACAUCAGGAGGUUAGUGCAAUGGCAUAAGCCAGCUUGACUGCGAGCGUGACGGCGCGAGCAGGUGCGAAAGCAGGUCAUAGUGAUCCGGUGGUUCUGAAUGGAAGGGCCAUCGCUCAACGGAUAAAAGGUACUCCGGGGAUAACAGGCUGAUACCGCCCAAGAGUUCAUAUCGACGGCGGUGUUUGGCACCUCGAUGUCGGCUCAUCACAUCCUGGGGCUGAAGUAGGUCCCAAGGGUAUGGCUGUUCGCCAUUUAAAGUGGUACGCGAGCUGGGUUUAGAACGUCGUGAGACAGUUCGGUCCCUAUCUGCCGUGGGCGCUGGAGAACUGAGGGGGGCUGCUCCUAGUACGAGAGGACCGGAGUGGACGCAUCACUGGUGUUCGGGUUGUCAUGCCAAUGGCACUGCCCGGUAGCUAAAUGCGGAAGAGAUAAGUGCUGAAAGCAUCUAAGCACGAAACUUGCCCCGAGAUGAGUUCUCCCUGACUCCUUGAGAGUCCUGAAGGAACGUUGAAG
rnacentral:rRNA from 1 species